rnacentral:rRNA from 1 species
UAGGGAAUCUUCGGCAAUGGACGAAAGUCUGACCGAGCAACGCCGCGUGAGUGAAGAAGGUUUUCGGAUCGUAAAACUCUGUUGUUAGAGAAGAACAAGGACGUUAGUAACUGAACGUCACCUGACGGUAUCUAACCAGAAAGCCACGGCUAACUACGUGCCAGCAGCCGCGGUAAUACGUAGGUGGCAAGCGUUGUCCGGAUUUAUUGGGCGUAAAGCGAGCGCAGGCGGUUUCUUAAGUCUGAUGUGAAAGCCCCCGGCUCAACCGGGGAGGGUAAUUGGAAACUGGGAGACUAGAGUGCAGAAGAGGAGAGUGGAAUUCCAUGUGUAGCGGUGAAAUGCGUAGAUAUAUGGAGGAACACCAGUGGCGAAGGCGGCUCUCUGGUCUGUAACUGACGCUGAGGCUCGAAAGCGUGGGGAGCAAACAGG